ensembl:lncRNA FBXO38-DT FBXO38 divergent transcript
UAUUGUGUGUGUGAAGAAGCAUCGAAGCGCGGCAGCCAUGUUCAGCGUGGCAUUUCGGAAGGCUUGUCAGGGGUGGAGAAGCGGGGCGGGUUGCUGUUCUUUCACCUGACACUAAAGCGCCAUGCCGGAAGCACUGAGUCUGAUACGUCGGAACCAGUCUCCACCGUGUGGUUUGGUCUUGAUUUCCACUGGUACUCUGGGGUCUUGGAUAAGUCUCUGGACCUCGCCUUUGUCAUUUGCGAAGUCGAUAGGUUCCAAUAGAGAUUUUCCCAGAAUCAUUCAACUAAAAAUAGAGAACUUUUUUUUUUUGAGAGGAAGGACGGGGGCGCAGUUAAAGAUGUUAAUGUUAAGUCAUCCCUUCUGUGAUUUCGGGACAUUAUCUUUGCACGCCAUGUGAAGAUGUGCUUGCUUCCUUGUCACCUUCCGCCAUGAUUGUAAGUUUCCUGAGGCCUCCCAGGAAGCAGAAGCCUGUACAGCCCACAGAACCAUGACCUGAUGAAAUCUCUUUUCUUUAUAAAUUACCCAGUCUCAGAGGGGUGGAGCCAAGAUGGCCGAAUAGGAACAGCUCCAGUCUACAUCUACCAGCAUGAGUGACACAGAAGAUGGGUGAUUUCUGCAUUUCCAACUGAGGUACUGGGUUCGUCUCACUGGGGAGUGCUGGACAGUGGGUGCAGGACAGUGGGUGCAGCGCACCGUGCGUGAGCCGAAGCAGGGCGAGGCAUCACCUCACCCAGGAAGUGCAAGGGGUCAGGGAAUUCCCUUUCCUAGUCAAAGAAAGGGGUGACAGAUGGCACCUGGAAAAUCGGGUCACUCCCACCCUAAUACUACGCUUUUCCAUCGGGCUUAGCAAACAGCACAACAGGAGAUUAUAUCCUGCACAUGGCUCGGAGGGUCCUACGCCCAUGGAGAAACUCUAUAAGCCAGAAGAGAGUGGGGGCCAAUAUUCAACAUUCUUAAAGAAAAGAAUUUUCAACCCAGAAUUUCAUAUCCAGCCAAACUAAGCUUCAUAAGUGAAGGAGAAAUAAAAUCCUUUACAGACAAGCAAAUGCUGAGAGAUUUUGUCACCACCAGGCCUGCCCUAAAAGAACUCCUGAAGGAAGCACUAAACAUGGAAAGGAACAACCAGUACCAGCCACUGCAAAAACAUGCCAAAUUGUAAAGACCAUCAAGGCUAGGAAGAAACUGCAUCAACUAAUGAGCAAAAUAACCAGCUAACAUCAUAGUGACAGGAUCAAAUUCACACAUAACAAUACUAACCCUAAAUGUAAAUGGACUAAAUACUCCAAUUAAAAGACACAGACUGGCAAAUUGGAUAAAGAGUCAAGACCCAUCAGUGUGCUGUAUUCAGGAAACCCAUCUCACGUGCAGACAAACACAUAGGCUCAAAAUAAAGGGAUGGAGGAAGAUCUACCAAGCAAAUGGAAAACAAAAAAAGGCAGGGGUUGCAACCCUAGUCUCGGAUAAAACAGACUUUAAAUCAACAAAGAUCAAAAGAGACAAAGAAGGCCAUUACAUAAUGGUAAAGGGAUCAAUUCAACAAGAAGAACUAACUAUCCUAAAUAAAUGUGCACCCAAUACAGGAGCACCCAGAUUCAUAAAGCAAGUCCUUAGUGACCUACAAAGAGACUUAGACUCCCACAUAAUAAUAAUGGGAGACUUUAACACCCCACUGUCAACAUUAGACAGAUCAACGAGACAGAAAGUUAAAAAAGAUAUCCAGGAAUUGAACUCAGCUCUGCACCAAGCAGACCUAAUAGACAUCUACAGAACUCUCCACCCGAAAUCAACAGAAUAUACAUUCUUCUCAGCACCACACCACACCUAUUCCAAAAUUGACCACAUAGUUGGAAGUAAAGCACUCCUCAGCAAAUGUAAAAGAACAGAAAUUAUAACAAACUGUCUCUCAGACCACAGUGCAAUCAAACUAGAACUCAUGAUUAGGAAACUCACUCAAAAGCACACAACUACAUGGAAACUGAACAACCUGCUCCUGAAUGACUACUGGGUACAUAACAAAAUGAAGGCAGAAAUAAAGAUGUUCUUUGAAACCAACGAGAACAAAGACACAACAUACCAGAAUCUCUGGGACACAUUCAAAGCAGUGUGUAGAGGGAAAUUUAUAGCACUAAAUACUCACAAGAGAAGCAGGAAAGAUCUAAAAUUGAAACCCUAACAUCACAAUUAAAAGAACUAGAGAAGCAAGAGCAAACACAUUCAAAAGCUAGCAGAAGGCAAGAAAUAACUAAGAUCAGAGCGGAACUGAAGGAGAUAAAGACACAAAAACCCCUUCAAAAAAUCAGUGAAUCCGGGAGCUGGUUUUUUGAAAAGAUCAACAAAAUUGAUAGACGGCUAGCAAGACUAAUAAAGAAGAAAAGAGAGAAGAAUCAAAUAGAUGCAAUAAAAAAUGACAAAGGGGAUAUCACCACCAAUCCCACAGAAAUACAAACUACCAUCAGAGAAUACUAUAAACACCUCUAAGCAAAUAAACUAGAAAAUCUAGAAGACAGGGAUAAAUUCUUCAACACAUACACUCUCCCAAGACUAAACCAGGAAGAAGUUGAAUCUCUGAAUAGACCAAUAACAGGCUCUGAAAUUGAGGCAAUAAUUAAUAGCUUACCAAACAAAAAAAAGUCCAGGACCAGAUGGAUUCACAGCCAGAUUCUACCAGAGGUACAAGGAGGAGCUGGUACCAUUCCUUCUGAAACUAUUCCAAUCAAUAGAAAAUGAGGGAAUCCUCCCUAACUAAUUUUUAUGAGGCCAGCAUCAUCCUGACACCAAAGCCUGGAAGAGACACAACGAAAAAAGAGAAUUUUAGACCAAUAUCCUUGAUGAACAUUGAUGCAAAAAUCCUCAAUAAAAUACUGGCAAACCGAAUCCAGCAACACAUCAAAAAGCUUAUCCACCAUGAUCAAGUGGGCUUCAUCCCUGGGAUGCAAGGCUGGUUCAACAUACACAAGUCAAUAAAUGUAAUCCAGCAUAUAAACAGAACCAAAGACAAAAACCACAUGAUUAUCUCAAUAGAUGCAGAAAAGGCCUUUGACAAAAUUCAACAACACUUCAUGCUAAAAACUCUCAAUAAAUUAGGUAUUGAUGGGACGUAUUUCAAAAUAAUAAGGGCUAUCUAUGACAAACCCACAGCCAAUAUCAUACUGAAUGGGCAAAAACUGGAAGCAUUCCCUUUGAAAACUGGCACAAGACAAGGAUGCCCUCUCUCACCACUCCUAUUCAACAUAGUGUUGGAAGUUCUGGCCAGGGCAAUCAGGCAGGAUAAGGAAAUAAAGGGCAUUCCAUUAGGAAAAGAGGAAGUCAAAUUGUCCCUGUCUGCAGAUGACAUGCUUGUAUAUCUAGAAAAUCCCAUCAUCUCAGCCCAAAAUCUCCUUAAGCUGAUACGCAACUUCAGCAAAGUCUCAGGAUGCAAAAUCAAUAUACAAAAAUCACAAGCAUUCUUAUACACCAGUAACAAACAGAGAGCCAAAUCAUGAGUGAACUCCCAUUCACAAUUGCUUCAAAGAGAAUAAAAUACCUAGGAAUCCAACUUACAAGGGAUGUGAAGGACCUCUUCAAGGAGAACUACAAACCACUGCUCAAUGAAAUAAAAGAGGAUACAAACAAAUGGAAGAACAUUCCUUGCUCAUGGAUAGGAAGAAUCAAUAUUGUGAAAAUGGCCAUACUGCCCAAGGUAAUUUAUAGAUUCAAUGCCAUCCCCAUCAAGCUACCAAUGACUUUCUUCACAGAAUUGGAAAAAACUACUUUAAAGUUCAUAUGGAACCAAAAAAGAGCCCGCAUUGCCAAGUCAAUCCUAAGCCAAAAGAACAAAGCUGGAGGCAUCAUGCUACCUGACUUCAAACUAUACUACAAGGCUACAGUAACCAAAACAGCAUGGUACUGGUACAAAAACAAAGAUAUAGACCAAUGGGACAGAACAGAGCCCUCAGAAAUAAUGCCACAUAUCUACAACUAUCUGAUCUUUGACAAACCUGACAAAAACAAGCAAUGGGGAAAGGAUUCCCUAUUUAAUAAAUGGUGCUGGGAAAACUGGCUAGCCAUAUGUAGAAAGCUGAAACUGGAUCCCUUCCUUACACCUUAUACAAAAAUUAAUUCAAGAUGGAUUAAAGACUUACAUGUUAGACCUAAAACCAUAAAAACCCUAGAAGAAAACCUAGGCAAUACCAUUCAGGACAUAGGCAUGGGCAAGGACUUCAUGUCUAAAACACCAAAAGCAAUGGCAACAAAAGCCAAAAUUGACAAAUGGCAACUAAUUAAACUAAAGAGCUUCUGCACAGCAAAAGAAACCACCAUCAGAGUGAACAGGCAACCUACAGAAUGAGAGAAAAUUUUUGCAACCUACUCAUCUGACAAAGGGCUAAUAUCCAGAAUCUGCAAUGAACUCAAACAAAUUUACAAGAAAAAAACAACCCCAUCAAAAAGUGGGCAAGGGAUAUGAACAUAGGCUUCUCAAAAGAAGACAUUUAUGCGGCCAAAAAACACAUGAAAAAAUGAUCAUCACUGGCCAUCAGAGAAAUGCAAAUCAAAACCACAAUGAGAUACCAUCUCACACCAGUUAGAAUGGCGAUCAUUGAAAAGUCAGGAAACAACAGGUGCUGGAGAGGAUGUGGAGAAAUAGGUAAACUUACACUGUUGGUGGGACUGUUAACUAGUUCAACCAUUGUGGGAGACAGUGUGGCGAUUCCUCGGGGAUCUAGAACUAGAAAUACCAUUUGACCCAGCCAUCCCAUUACUGGGUAUAUACCCAAAGGAUUAUAAAUCAUGCUGCUAUAAAGACACAUGCACACAUAUGUUUAUUGCGGCAUUAUUCACAAUAGCAAAGACUUGGAACCAACCCAAAUGUCCAACAAUGAUAGACUGGAUUAAGAAAAUGUGGCACAUAUACACCAUGGAAUACUAUGCAGCCAUAAAAAAUGAUGAGUUCAUGUCCUUUGUAGGGACAUGGAUGAAGCUGGAAACCAUCAUUCUCAGCAAACUGUCGCAAGGACAAAAAACCAAACACCGCAUGUUCUCACUCAUAGGUGGGAAUUGAA